GACGAACGCUGGCGGCGUGCUUAACACAUGCAAGUCGAACGGAAAGGCCCUGCUUUUGUGGGGUGCUCGAGUGGCGAACGGGUGAGUAACACGUGAGUAACCUGCCCUUGACUUUGGGAUAACUUCAGGAAACUGGGGCUAAUACCGGAUAGGAGCUCCUGCUGCAUGGUGGGGGUUGGAAAGUUUCGGCGGUUGGGGAUGGACUCGCGGCUUAUCAGCUUGUUGGUGGGGUAGUGGCUUACCAAGGCUUUGACGGGUAGCCGGCCUGAGAGGGUGACCGGCCAAAGUGGGGAAGGAGACCGGCCCGAGACCCCUGGGGGGGAGAGAGGGGGGAAAUUGUGCAAAGGGGGGGGAGCCGUGAUGCAGCAGCGCGGGGGGGGGGAAGGGGCCUUGGGGGUGAAACCCGGUUUCCCCGUGUGAAGAGGGGGGGGUGAGGGAAGUGGGAAAAAAAGCCCGGCAAACCUCGGC
rnacentral:rRNA from 1 species